rnacentral:rRNA from 1 species
CAUGCAAGUCGAACGGUGAACCAGGAGCUUGCUCUUGGGGAUCAGUGGCGAACGGGUGAGUAACACGUGAGCAAUCUGCCCCUGACUCUGGGAUAAGCGCUGGAAACGGCGUCUAAUACUGGAUACGAGCCGUGAAGGCAUCUUCAACGGUUGGAAAGAUUUUUCGGUCAGGGAUGAGCUCGCGGCCUAUCAGCUUGUUGGUGAGGUAAUGGCUCACCAAGGCGUCGACGGGUAGCCGGCCUGAGAGGGUGACCGGCCACACUGGGACUGAGACACGGCCCAGACUCCUACGGGAGGCAGCAGUGGGGAAUAUUGCACAAUGGGCGCAAGCCUGAUGCAGCAACGCCGCGUGAGGGAUGACGGCCUUCGGGUUGUAAACCUCUUUUAGCAGGGAAGAAGCGAAAGUGACGGUACCUGCAGAAAAAGCGCCGGCUAACUACGUGCCAGCAGCCGCGGUAAUACGUAGGGCGCAAGCGUUAUCCGGAAUUAUUGGGCGUAAAGAGCUCGUAGGCGGUUUGUCGCGUCUGCUGUGAAAUCCCGAGGCUCAACCUCGGGUCUGCAGUGGGUACGGGCAGACUAGAGUGCGGUAGGGGAGAUUGGAAUUCCUGGUGUAGCGGUGGAAUGCGCAGAUAUCAGGAGGAACACCGAUGGCGAAGGCAGAUCUCUGGGCCGUAACUGACGCUGAGGAGCGAAAGGGUGGGGAGCAAACAGGCUUAGAUACCCUGGUAGUCCACCCCGUAAACGUUGGGAACUAGUUGUGGGGUCCAUUCCACGGAUUCCGUGACGCAGCUAACGCAUUAAGUUCCCCGCCUGGGGAGUACGGCCGCAAGGCUAAAACUCAAAGGAAUUGACGGGGACCCGCACAAGCGGCGGAGCAUGCGGAUUAAUUCGAUGCAACGCGAAGAACCUUACCAAGGCUUGACAUACACGAGAACGCUGCAGAAAUGUAGAACUCUUUGGACACUCGUGAACAGGUGGUGCAUGGUUGUCGUCAGCUCGUGUCGUGAGAUGUUGGGUUAAGUCCCGCAACGAGCGCAACCCUUGUUCUAUGUUGCCAGCACGUAAUGGUGGGAACUCAUGGGAUACUGCCGGGGUCAACUCGGAGGAAGGUGGGGAUGACGUCAAAUCAUCAUGCCCCUUAUGUCUUGGGCUUCACGCAUGCUACAAUGGCCGGUACAAAGGGCUGCGAUACCGUAAGGUGGAGCGAAUCCCAAAAAGCCGGUCCCAGUUCGGAUUGAGGUCUGCAACUCGACCUCAUGAAGUCGGAGUCGCUAGUAAUCGCAGAUCAGCAACGCUGCGGUGAAUACGUUCCCGGGUCUU